rnacentral:rRNA from 1 species
AUUGAACGCUGGCGGCAGGCCUAACACAUGCAAGUCGAACGAGUGGCGGACGGGUGAGUAAUGUCUGGGAAAAUGCCCGAUGGCGGGGGAUAACUACUGGAAACGGUAGCUAAUACCGCAUACCAUCGAAAGUGCCAAGAGGGGCUUAGCUAGUAGGUGGGGUAACGGCUCACCUAGUCUACGAUCCCUAGCUGGUCUGAGAGGAUGACCAGCCCCACUGUAACUGCGACACGGUCCGAAUUCCUACGGGAGGCAGCAGUGGGGAAUAUUGCACAGUGGGCUCAAGCCUACUGCAGCCAUGCCGCGUGUAUGACGAAGGCCUUCGGGUUGUAAAGUACUUUCAGCGAGGAGGCGUUACUCGCAGAAGAAGCACCGGCUAACUCCGUGCCAGCCGCCGCGGUAAUUC